rnacentral:rRNA from 1 species
UAAACGGCGGCCGUAACUAUAACGGUCCUAAGGUAGCGAAAUUCCUUGUCGGGUAAGUUCCGACCUGCACGAAUGGCGUAACGAUUUCCCCACUGUCUCAACCAGAGACUCAGCGAAACUGUAGUACCGGUGAAGAUGCCGGUUACCCGCAACAAGACAGAAAGACCCCGUGAACCUUUACUACAGCUUGGCAUUGGUUUUUGAGGUAACAUGUGUAGGAUAGGUGGGAGACUUUGAAGUGGGCACGCCAGUGUUCAUGGAGUCACCCUUGAAAUACCACCCUUGUUAUCUUAGGAAUCUAACUGCGGUCCGUAAUCCGGAUCCAGGACAUUGUCUGGUGGGUAGUUUGACUGGGGCGGUCGCCUCCUAAAGAGUAACGGAGGCGCGCGAUGGUUCCCUCCGGCUGAUUGGAAACCAGCCUAAGAGUGUAAAGGCAUAAGGGAGCUUGACUGCGAGACAGACAUGUCGAGCAGGUACGAAAGUAGGUCUUAGUGAUCCGGCGAUUCCGCAUGGAAGGGUCGUCGCUCAACGGAUAAAAGGUACUCCGGGGAUAACAGGCUUAUCUCCCCCAAGAGUCCAUAUCGACGGGGAGGUUUGGCACCUCGAUGUCGGCUCAUCACAUCCUGGGGCUGAAGCAGGUCCCAAGGGUUUGGCUGUUCGCCAAUUAAAGUGGUACGUGAGCUGGGUUUAAAACGUCGUGAGACAGUUUGGUCCUUAUCUGUUGCGGGCGCAGGAUAUUUGAGGAGAUCUUUCCCUAGUACGAGAGGACCGGGAUGGACGAACCUAUGGUCGACCAGUUGUUCCGCCAGGGGCAUUGCUGGGUAGCUACGUUCGGAAGGGAUAACCGCUAAAAGCAUCUAAGCGGGAAGCCCACUCCAAGAUAAGAUAUCCCAUGGCUUAGUCGCCAUCUGAAGGCUCGUGGUAGACCACCACGUUGAUAGGUCGGGUGUGGAAGCGCAGUAAUGCGUGGAGCUUACCGAUACUAAUACGCCGUGAGGCUUAUCCAUAU